rnacentral:rRNA from 1 species
GAUGAACGCUGGCGGCGUGCUUAACACAUGCAAGUCGAACGAUGAAGCCCAGCUUGCUGGGUGGAUUAGUGGCGAACGGGUGAGUAACACGUGAGCAACCUGCCCCUGACUCUGGGAUAAGCGCUGGAAACGGCGUCUAAUACUGGAUAUGUCCCGUCACCGCAUGGUGUGCGGGUGGAAAGAUUUUUCGGUUGGGGAUGGGCUCGCGGCCUAUCAGCUUGUUGGUGAGGUAAUGGCUCACCAAGGCGUCGACGGGUAGCCGGCCUGAGAGGGUGACCGGCCACACUGGGACUGAGACACGGCCCAGACUCCUACGGGAGGCAGCAGUGGGGAAUAUUGCACAAUGGGCGGAAGCCUGAUGCAGCAACGCCGCGUGAGGGAUGACGGCAUUCGGGUUGUAAACCUCUUUUAGCAGGGAAGAAGCGAAAGUGACGGUACCUGCAGAAAAAGCACCGGCUAACUACGUG